UUGCAAGAAAAAGUGUGUGAGAUUGGUCACCUAAAUUCAAAAGGUUUUCUUGGGAUGAAACUUUGAUUACGGUAACCUUUAAUUUGAUAUUUACGAACUUCUUUGCUUUCAAUUAUUAAAAAUUGUAAUGGUAUUGCCGAGUUUCAAAGGUUAUGGAAAAAAAUGUAAUGUAGAAUCCAUCUUAAUCUUAGUUAUCUUAAAACAAGCUACCAUGCUUGUAAUGAUUCAAAUAUGAUCAGUAAUCUGAAUGAGGUGCGCACGGUAAAUAGUAAUAUUCAUUUUCAUUUUUUGAUAGAAAGCAAAAAUUAAUACAAUUUUCCCUUUUGCCUAAGUUUGGUUCUUUAAAGAGCAACGCUUAUCUUUACCAAAGUUUCCUAUGAAACGGGUUCUAUGAAUUUCCAAAUUUAUCUGUUGUGAAUUUUGUGAAUAUUAUUGAGAGAAAUAGAAGGCACUAGAUUUUGCGUAUCUCCAACCCAGUAAAAUGGAAGGUAUUGAUCUGUUCUCCACUCAAGAAAAAUGGAAGGUAAAGGGCUUUGCUGUUUUACACCCCAGUAACAGAAACGUGUGUUGACUAUUGGUGCAAUUAAAUUAACAUGUUGAUAACAGUGGGGUUUGGUUAGUUUUAUGUAUUUUAAUUGUUGUGGAUUGAUUUGUCUCCCUUUGAUACAACCUGAAAGGUUCAAACUCGUUUGUAACUAAAGACCAACUUGUUCAUGUUAUAGAAGACACAGCUGUUUAUUUUUACUCCCCGUAAACUGCUUUCAGGCAUGCGCAGUGUCUUGGUUUCAUAUUGACAAAGAUGACCAAAUAUUUGUGUGAUGUCUUGUUUUUGUCAAGCAAAGUAAUUACCCCCAGUGAAGUAGGAACCUAACUCUUAAUUGAUCAUUUGGUGACUGGGUAGUACUACACCCAUUUCUUUGCGCUUCAAAACAUUAUUUUUUUUUUUAAGAAUAGUUAAUAAAUAUCAUUUUUUUUCUGCUUAUUUUAAAUCACCACAUUUCGUCAAUUGAUGUUUAGAUGUUACCGAGUUUGUAUUCAAAGUCAAAUUUUGAUUGAGAAAUAUUUUUGUAAUUAAAAUUAUAUUGGGUUACCAUAAAAGUCUUCAAAAAACAAAAGAGUUCUACUCUUUAAACAGUCGUAUAUAAAUGUGAUGUUUAUAAUUGCCAGGUUUAGUCUCUCUCAUAGGCCUGUUGUGCUGGUUAUGCUUGUGUUACUAUAAGAAUUCCAUUUUCUGUUACAUAUGAACUAUAAUAUUGUGUAUUUAUAUAUUUAUGAUUUGGGGUUUAUGCGUCACGAUCCAUUGAGUAUAUUUAAAACGUCUGUCUAUGUCAGAAACUACCCUAGUUUUGUUAAACAUGAAUGUAUGAGAAAUAAUAGAAUUUAUUGUUUACUACAAAUGUUUCAUAUGAAAUCAAAUAAAAUAUAUGAAUAAU
rnacentral:sRNA from 1 species